CAUUGCUUUCAACAUCCGCUAGAUUAGAAUUUGAGAAUAAAUGGAACAGGAGCCACUGAGUUGAGAUGAUCAGAGGCAGUAUAGAGGGCCACCAUCAUACAUUAAUCUAUCUGAAGUGCAAUGGGAUAAGAUUCAUUGGCUGAGAGACCAGUUAUGGCGCCUGGUCCUGAUGAUGUCACUUCCUUUUCCACCCUCUGCUGAUGACAUCAAUUCUGGGUCCGAGAUCCACUUAUAACACGACUUUCGGUUCCGGCCUUAAUGACAUCACUUCUGGUUCUGGUCCUACAGAUGACGUCACUUCCUCCGAUCCCUUUUAAACCUGCCAUCUUUGCACCAACAAGGCAGUUAGGUUCUGGACUUAAACCUGUACAACUCUGUACUUGAAAAUCUCUCCAUUGCAGCCAGGAACAAUAUACAGGUGGCUGCCCCAAACCUC